GCUGGACCAGCUGCCCUUAGACUAUGAAGAGGUGGGGGAAACUGAAGGAGACCAUCUGUUAGAUGAGAGAAAGACUGAAGGUAGUCCAGAAGAUCACGGUAACGCCUCUAUGCCAAAGAAGAUGCAAGAAACACAGUCAGUAGAUACACUGGAGUACUACAAUGAUUCCCCUGCACAUCAGAAGCUUGAAUAUGAUGAUGUCACAGUUGACCAGACCAGUGACUAUGACGAUGUUGCUGUGGAGCAAAGCCUGAAGUCUCAGUUAGGACACAGAACUAUUCCAACAUCACUGACCCAUGACGAAAAACUCCCUAAAGCUGACA